rnacentral:rRNA from 1 species
CCUACGGGACGCAGCAGUGGGGGAUAUUGCACAAUGGGGGAAACCCUGAUGCAGCGACGCCGCGUGAGCGAUGAAGUAUUUCGGUAUGUAAAGCUCUAUCAGCAGGGAAGUAAAUGACGGUACCUGACUAAGAAGCCCCGGCUAACUACGUGCCAGCAGCCGCGGUAAUACGUAGGGGGCAAGCGUUAUCCGGAUUUACUGGGUGUAAAGGGAGCGUAGACGGCAGGGCAAGUCUGAAGUGAAAGGCAAGGGCUCAACCCUUGGACUGCUUUGGAAACUGUGCUGCCCGAGUGUCGGAGAGGCAG